rnacentral:rRNA from 1 species
GUGGCUUAGAUACCCUGGUAGUCCACGCUGUAAACGAUGUCGAUUUGGAGGUUGUGCCCUUGAGGCGUGGCUUCCGGAGCUAACGCGUUAAAUCGACCGCCUGGGGAGUACGGCCGCAAGGUUAAAACUCAAAUGAAUUGACGGGGGCCCGCACAAGCGGUGGAGCAUGUGGUUUAAUUCGAUGCAACGCGAAGAACCUUACCUACUCUUGACAUCCAGCGAACCCUGUAGAGAUACGGGGGUGCCUUCGGGAACGCUGAGACAGGUGCUGCACGGUCGUCGCCAGCU